rnacentral:rRNA from 1 species
UUGGAGGGCAAGUCUGGUGCCAGCAGCCGCGGUAAUUCCAGCUCCAAUAGCGUAUAUUAAAGUUGUUGCAGUUAAAAAGCUCGUAGUUGAAUUUCGGGAUUGACGUGAUGGUCGUGCCUUACGGGGUAUGAACUGUUGCUGUUGAUUUCUCACCUUCUGGAGAAACUUGAUGUCCUUAAUUGGGUGUCUUGCGGAUCCAGGACCUUUACCUUGAAAAAAUUAGAGUGUUUAAAGCAGGCAUUUUUGCUCGAAUACAUUAGCAUGGAAUAAUAGAAUAGGACGGCAUGGUUCUAUUUUGUUGGUUUCUAGGAUCACCGUAAUGAUUAACAGGGAUAGUUGGGGGCAUUAGUAUUCAAUUGUCAGAGGUGAAAUUCUUGGAUUUAUUGAAGACUAACUAUUGCGAAAGCGUUUGCCAAGGAUGUUUUCAUUAAUCAAGAACGAAAGUUAGGGGAUCGAAGACGAUCAGAUACCGUCGUAGUCUUAACCAUAAACUAUGCCGACUAGGAAUCAGACGAUGUUAAUUUUUUAAUGACUCGUUUGGCACCUUACGGGAAACCAAAGUGUUUGGGUUC